ensembl:lncRNA novel transcript, antisense to EFCAB2
AUUAAGGAGGCAAAAUGGUGGCCGCGAACGCCAUCAGGCUGCGCCAGCGCGGGGUUUCGGCGCAAACAGAGGAUCCCGUCAGAUUCAGGCGGCCAGAACUCCUCCUCACCCAGGCCACCCCCCGGGGCCCACAGCCUGGACAGCUACGGGCGUGGCGCCUGCGGCACCGAGACCCCAGGCGAGAGUGUGGAGGCGGCGGCGGCUUCCCCGCGACCGUGAACAACGACGCCAUUAUCAGCACCCCCUGCCGGCGCCUCCGGCGCAGCCCGCGCAGGAUGCAAGGCCCGGCCUCCGAGGGAGGGGGAAGGAGGACGGGGCGGGAGGAGGGGAAGAGGGUGAAGAGGGCGGGAGGAGAAAGAAGAAGGCGGGAGGAGGGGAGAGAGAAGAGGGAGGGAAGAGGGGAGAGAGGCGGGGCGGGGCGGGGGAGAGAGGCGGGGCGGGGCGGGGCGGAGCGGCGGGCCGGGCGGGCUACGGGGACGGGGGCAGGGCGACUGCUGCUGCCGGGUGGCCCCCUCCUCAGGCCGCCCUUUCCCUGCGGGUGGGAACUCCAGAUGGACGAGGGCCCACCCCACCCGGCGCUUCCCCGUGCAGCCCGGGGUCGCGGCGGGCGGCGAGGGCAGCGGCUCCCCGGCUCCCCUACCUUACCUUCCCUGUCCUUCUCGUCCGCCAUCUUGCUGCGGAGCCGGUCGCCUGGGAGAUGCCUAACGAUAACCUCGGCCGCGGUGUCCCGGCCUGCUCAGCGCCCCGCGGCGAGCCUGGCCUGGAGGAGGGGCCGCUCUGAAUCCCGGGGGAGGAAGACCCUUGGGCGGGGCGGGGCGGGGAGGAGGCUCCGAGCGCGCGCCCUGUCCCCGUUUCGCGCCACGACCCUCGCGCUGGGGGAAGACCAGAGGCCCCGUCUGCCACCCGGCCCCCGGCCUUGUCCCUCCAGACCCGAGGCCGGAGCCGGACUUGUCCCGGGCCUAGCAUGUUGCUUCAUCACACGGUCCCCAACCCCUCCUUUCCCUUAUUUCUCAUCCAUUUGGGGACAGCACGCGCGCGCACACACCCCUCGCCCCCUCCUGUCCUGUUUGUGCGACGUGGCGUUGCUCGAUUUUUGUUGUUAACUGCAGAUUUUGAAAAGCGCCGGAGAGCUAGGUGAAGAGCUGGGCUCCCAAGGGGGUGAUAGAACCAGCCCGCGGCCCGGCCUCCUCCUCCCGCUUCCCAUUCGCAGCCCGCCUCCCGCCGGGAAGCGGCCCGGCUGCUGCAGAACGGCCGCGCCUGCCCUCCCGGUUUCUCCCGUCCAGUCUUCACCGUCCUUUCCCAGAGAAAGCGACAGCACAGCCUAUGACAACCGAAGCUAAAACGGAAAAACUGGGCCGGGCGCAAGAGGAAACCAGAGCCAUUCGACUAUUGCUAGAGGAGAGGAAUAGCUGCAGGAAAACAUGCGCAAAAUAGCACAAACAUUGCGUCGUCAAGGCUGCAAUGUCUAAUACAAAAUAGAAGGUUCUCAUAGCAACAAAAACGUGCCCAUGUUGUGCUCAGUAUUACAUGCGUUAAAAUGUUCUUAGUUGUGAAAUUUGACAUGACCGCUAGUUAAAGUUACAAUGGAAGUUUUAAAUCCCGCUUUCCGAAAACUUUGCAGCUAUAGCAUGAAGUUAAAUUUUUGUCUUAUUUUCUGGAUAAGUUUACUAUACUGGAACAUAGUAAAGCUCUUUUUAUAAAGAGCUUUGAAUAAAAUACCUAAUGAUGUGGUUGAAACG